rnacentral:sRNA from 1 species
GCCAGGCACCAUGGCAUAUGCCUGUAAUCCCAGCGGCUCAGGAGGCUGAGACAGGAGGAUUGCAAGUUCAAAGUCAGCCUCAAAAGAGAGAUGCUAAGCAACUCAAUGAGAUCCUGUCUCUA